rnacentral:lncRNA from 1 species
GCAGUUAGUUUAAAGUUUUAUAAUCAUAAGACAUGUUAACAAUACAAUAUACAUUAUAAUUAUCAGAUAUUGUAUUUAUCAAUCAUGGUGCCCAACAUUUGAGCUUUCCAAUACAAUGAAUUACAAAAUAAAGCGCAGUAAUUGAUUAGAAUGACCAGCGUGAUUACAGUAUCUGUAAGGCUUUUUUACCUCAAGAAUAGAGUACCUUAGCUAUAUUUGGGAUAACUUUGAGGAAUUUUUGGUCCUCAAUGCUCUUCAACUCUGUACUUUAUUUUGCCUUUAAAACAUUUUUGACACUGAUGAGUCUUUAGUAGACUAAACGCGCGUCUGGCGUAAAUAUGAAAUGUUGAAUCCUGGUAUCUAUGAUGAGUUUAUUUUACGAAACAUGUUAACACUAUAAAACAAAGUAAUGAAAUAUGAAAAACAAUGUCAUUGAUAAAACAUAAGUAAUUUGGAAGCCACUGUGAUUUGAAAGAGGCAUUCCAUAAACAAUUUGUAGACCAAGGACUAUGGGACACAACUGUCAAUUAACUUGUUUAUAUUUAUAUUUAUCAAACUAUAUAGAUAUUUCUAGAAAUUUUUUUAGUUCUUAAUCAAGUGAGUGAAAUAAAUAAGAUAUUUCAGGUAGCAAACGAAUUUGCAGAUGACAAAAAUAAAACUAAGUUCAUCUCAUCAGGUGGCUUCCCUUUUUUUUAUUAAGCAUUUAAAGUAGACUGAUGUAAUCUUGUAUUGUUCAGAACAGGCCUUUUUUAAAAAGGAAGUGCGGUUAAUUACGUUUUACAUAACUUACACGUGUGUGUAUCGAUGGGAAAACAUAUUAUAUGUUAGUAUAUAAUUGAAUGUCAAUGUUAUCAACACUAUCGUUUAUUAAGGCGAACUAAUAUAUACCAUGGUAAUCUUUAAACCGUUGUAAACUUUGUGUAUUCCAUCUUCACUUUUUGGAAAUAUUUCAUUUUAUUAUUUCAAAUGACAGUCUAGUCGUUUCAGUCAGUAUUUAAAACAUCAGUAUUCAUGUAAUAUCAAUACACAGGUUUUUUUUUAUUAAAUGAUUAGCACAUGUAUGGAUCUAAGUUAUCUGAAAGUUUUAUGGCACUUGGAGGACUAUACAUGGUCUUAGUUUUGCAAUAUUUUUUUUUUAUUUUAAAACUUAACAAGUUUGUUAAAUUGUAUCGUGUUUAAAAAUUCCGAGGGCCUUCUUUAUUUCUCUUUCGGAAUUGUUGUGACCUCCACUACACCUCACUUAUUCCAUUUCAUCCAUGACGUUUAUCGGUUUUUCUUCUUAAAUUCGAAAUGCAUGUAAGUGAUCGGGCUGGCAAAUCAUUAAGGAACUAACUGUCCAUAGGUUAAUCACCAAGGAAAAAAACUGUCCAUCGGUAGAUAUUCUAACCAUUUGAUAAUGAAUUAAGGCUGCAGUUGUAGAUUACCAAUGUUGCAAUUUCACAAAUAAGUCAGAAAAUGUCAUAGUUGAUUAAAUAAUUACUAUAUCAACAUCUUUAUCUAUUGAAAAAAGUAUGGGUAAAUUAUCCAUACGUUAUUGAUUUUAAAUUUAUUAGUUCACUACUGAUAUACAAUAGUUCUUUCAGUAACUUUUUUUCCCUUUUUUUAUUUUUGCAUAUAAGUUCAAUCAAUCGCAACUUAUUUAACUGUCAUCUCUCGUUGACAUAGAAUAACAUGUUGGACAUGACACUAAUUUUUCCCUUUUUUACGACUCAGGUGGACGGACCU